rnacentral:rRNA from 1 species
GGCUCAGAACGAACGUAGCGGCGCGCCUAACACAUGCAAGUCGAGCGAGAAAGGGGAACCCCGGUAAAGCGGCGCACGGGUGAGUAACACGUAGGUAAUCUACUCCCAGGUGGUGGAUAACCUUCCGAAAGGAGGGCUAAUACAGCAUGAGACCACGAUCCCGCGAGGGAUUGAGGUCAAAGCCGGCCUCUUCAAGAAAGCUGGCGCCAGGGAUUGAGCCUGCGGCCCAUCAGCUAGUUGGUAGGGUAACGGCCUACCAAGGCGAAGACGGGUAGCUGGUCUGAGAGGAUGAUCAGCCACACUGGAACUGAGACACGGUCCAGACUCCUACGGGAGGCAGCAGUGGGGAAUCUUGCGCAAUGGGCGAAAGCCUGACGCAGCGACGCCGCGUGAGUGAAUGAAGGCCUUCGGGUUGUAAAGCUCUGUGGAGGGGGACGAAUAAGGGUUGGCUAACAUCCAACUUGAUGACGGUACCUCUUUAGCAAGCACCGGCUAACUCUGUGCCAGCCGCCGC